GGCGCAAGGAGGUAACGACGACUGGGGCCUCGCACGCGAAGGCACUUCCUC
rnacentral:ribozyme from 1 species